CUUUAUUCAUGUAGAUGCUAACAUCUUUCAAAUAUGAGCUAGGGUCAUAGGUCACCAUCUCAGAUUUAAUGAUACUUUAUUCAUGUAGAUGCUAACACCUUUCAAAUAUGAGCUUGGGUUGAAGGGCUUAGAAGUGUUUGUGUAAACAUGGCCAAAGGGCAAUCAAAUCUCGUGUUAAAUUAUGACGGCGCGUAUCUAGUCAUGGUGGCGAAAAGCGAAAAAUUAUAAGCGUUAGCCCUUUUCUGUGAUUCGAAUCAGUAAAUCAAAACACCAAUAGAGCUCUUCUAUGUUUGGUAAAAGAUCUUUACGAGUAGUGUCCAACACAAUAUGGGUUGGUGAAUGUGGAUAAAUGUGAGAGAAGGUUUUUUGAAUAUUACAAUUUUAUAUUUUCUGUUUGAUCGUUGAUUUAGUAAAAAUAAAUUUUCAAAAUCUGUGAUGACGUGUUUGCUGUACUCUCUGC